CGGAAUGUGCUGACAUUGCAAGUUCAAUGGAGACUGAGUGUGAAGAACCCAUGGAGGUUGAAGGCCCUUCUGUGGAACCUGAUGAAAUGGAACAGACUCUGCUGAAGGCACAGGUUGAGCCUGCAGAUAAGCGUGAUGAUAAAUAUGAGUAGCACGCCAAGUUCAGAAUCCAUUCAAAUUCCAGAAGCAGGUGAAGGGCAACAACCACAGGCUUCAAAGAAGAUUUAUGGGAGAUUGAAGCAAAACAUGCAGGCACUGUUCUAGUCUGGAAACGCAGCUGCUAACGUUCUCAAUAAGUCUUACUGUUUUCUGCAAACUAGAUCUGCACAAUUUAUAGAAUGUUUUCUAUUAUAUCAACAUAAUCUUGAAAAAUGUAUCCACUUGAAAGCUUUUAUUAUAGUCUACCAUUUCAGCCAGUUCGUAGGAUUGCUUAGACAUCAAUUCCUACCUAAUCAACUUGCCAACUAAACCUAGUCAUCUGAAAAGUUUCUCUGUUUUGGUCUUCUAUCACACAUACUUCUCUUUGAAUAAUAAAUUGGUGCCACUU